AGAGCGAACGCUGGCGGCAGGCCUAACACAUGCAAGUCGAACGGACCCUUCGGGGUUAGUGGCGGACGGGUGAGUAACACGUGGGAACGUGCCUUUAGGUUCGGAAUAGCUCCUGGAAACGGGUGGUAAUGCCGAAUGUGCCCUUCGGGGGAAAGAUUUAUCGCCUUUAGAGCGGCCCGCGUCCGAUUAGCUAGUUGGUGAGGUAAAGGCUCACCAAGGCUACGAUCAGUAGCUGGUCUGAGAGGAUGACCAGCCACAUUGGGACUGAGACACGGCCCAGACUCCUACGGGAGGCAGCAGUGGGGAAUAUUGGACAAUGGGCAAAGCCUGAUCCAGCAACGCCGCGUGAGGGAUGGACGGCCUUGGGUUGUAAACCUCUUUCAGCGCCGACGAAGCGAGAGUGACGGUAGGCGCAGAAGAAGCGACCGCCAACUACGAGUCAAGCAGCCGC
rnacentral:rRNA from 1 species